rnacentral:rRNA from 1 species
CGGUGGGAUAAAGGCCUCCCAAUACAAUGAUGCAUAUCCGAGUAGAGAGAUUUUUCGGCCACAUAGGGCCUGAGACACGCCCCAAACUCUUAUCGGGAGGGUGCAGUAGGGAAUCUUCCACAAUGGGCGAAAGCCUGAUGGAGCAACGCCGCGUGUGUGAUGAAGGCUUUCGGGUCGUAAAGCAUCUGUCGUAUGGGAAGAACAGCUAGAAUAGGAAAUGAUUUUAGUUUGACGGUACCAUACCAGAAAGGGAGGGCUAAAUACGUGCCAGCAGCCGCGGUAAUACGUAUGUCCCGAGCGUUAUCCGGAUUUAUUGGGCGUAAAGCGAGCGCAGACGGUUUAUUAAGUCUGAUGUGAAAGCCCGGAGCUCAACUCCGGAAUGGCAUGGAAACUGG